UAGGGAAUCUUCGGCAAUGGACGAAAGUCUGACCGAGCAACGCCGCGUGAGUGAAGAAGGUUUUCGGAUCGUAAAACUCUGUUGUUAGAGAAGAACAAGGACGUUAGUAACUGAACGUCCCCUGACGGUAUCUAACCAGGAAGCCACGGCUAACUACGUGCCAGCAGCCGCGGUAAUACGUAGGUGGCAAGCGUUGUCCGGAUUUAUUGGGCGUAAAGCGAGCGCAGGCGGUUUCUUAAGUCUGAUGUGAAAGCCCCCGGCUCAACCGGGGAGGGUCAUUGGAAACUGGGAGACUUGAGUGCAGAAGAGGAGAGUGGAAUUCCAUGUGUAGCGGUGAAAUGCGUAGAGAUCUGGAGGAAUACCGGUGGCGAAGGCGGCCCCCUGGACGAAGACUGACGCUCAGGUGCGAAAGCGUGGGGAGCAAACAGG
rnacentral:rRNA from 1 species